UAAUUUUCCAUUUCUAUCAAGAUUUCAAAAUCCUUAUUCACAUCAGAAUACCUCAGUCACCGGAGCUCCAAAACAUCACCAUUUCUCGAUCAAGUUUCUAUCUUUUUCUAGUUUUAUAUUCUUCUCUUACCAAAGUCUUCCUUAGUUUUGGGAACAUUUCAGUUCUACGUACCGUUCGCUCUUUCUGAUCCUUUGCUUCUGAUCUCAAGCUCCGUACGCAGCCCAGUUGGGCAGAUUGAGAUGGGUAUAUACCUCAGCUCUCCUAAAACAGAGAAAUUCUCAGAGGAUGGUGAGAAUGAUAGGCUCAGAUAUGGUCUGUCAUCCAUGCAAGGUUGGCGUGCAACAAUGGAAGAUUCUCAUGCUGCACUGCCUGAUUUGGAUGCUUCCACUUCAUUCUUUGGUGUUUAUGACGGCCAUGGGGGUAAAGUAGUUGCAAAAUUUUGUGCGAAGUUUCUUCAUCAGCAGGUCCUGAGGAGUGAAGCAUAUUCAGCUGGAGAUAUUGGAACUUCUGUGCAGAAAGCAUUUUUCAGAAUGGAUGAGAUGAUGC
rnacentral:misc_RNA from 1 species